AAACCAGUCAUGCUUCAAGCGAUGAUAUGAGGUGCACCGUUAACGGGACGAUUUUCUUUUAUUAUCGAAUUUGCACAAAGAAGCACGCAAUGGUGAUAUUAGUAAAAUGCUCCAAUUACGCAAUUGUUUUAUAGACAAUGUUUAUAAAAAUCGCAGUUGUAUGUCUCAUGGGAUCUGGUGCGUUGGAUGGUCCAGCAUUUGAAGGCGCAGUACCGUAAAGCCAAUGAUUGGCUCGCGUCAACGGAUGCAGGACUUAAAAAUGAAGCUGACGUAUGAACCAUAGAAGCUGAGGAUAGCGUUACUCGUUGCUAAUAACCUGCCUUCGCCUCAACUAUGUCCAGCUAGUCCUGUAUCAGAAUUCGAAGUAGAAUUCUUGGAAGAGGAAUGUGUACCUGCCGCACCUUCGAUGGCACCAAUUUCCACCCCGAUAUCAACAUUACAACGGUCAACUUGAUCACCGAAAUCAUCCGUUGGACAGUUGGCGUCUAUCCAAGCUGAAAGAAUUUCUAAUGGAAGCGAAGAAGUUGGAAUUUGAGAAAUAUAAAUUCGAGGUAAAAAAAUUUGACUUAGAUUAAAAAAAUAGA